GGCGGUAGCUCAGUUGGUAGAGCAGGAUAUGUAGGCUUGGCGCUUGUUGCCCCAACACUUUUCUUACUGCUGACCGGGUGCCGUAGGACGGCGUUACUUCGGUAAGAUCUGACGAUCGUGCAGGUUCAAAUCCUGCGCCUUGCCG
rnacentral:tRNA from 1 species